GCGCCGGCGCUCAACAGUACAUGUACAGUACACUGACGGCGGGAACGAGUGCCGAUUGCUAGUCUUUGUUCUUAGAGGUUGCUGUCUGUGUGUUUCACCAACGCACCGCCCUGUGGAGGAGUAUUGUGACCAACUGUAUUAUACCACUGUGCACGAGCUAUCGGCAGGUAAUAAUAAACAGUAACGUCUUGCAACCAAGACUAGACGAACGCAUACUUACGGACGGCGCCUCGUGACCGGCCGCGCCUCAGUUCCGUUCAUCACCGAGUCUCUCAACGGUCCGUGUGCAGAAGCGAUACGUUUUUCUUUACCAUUCAGCAGCGCAUCCUUGCAUUUGCAGAGACACUUCGGAAAUUACCACCAUGAUUAGCAGACUGUGUUUUGCCCUGUGCAUUGUCCUCCUCAUGGUUGUGAUGGUGGUGUCGCAAACAGGCACUCCGGAUAUGCCCACCGCAGAGCCCACAAACGCACCGCAACCAGAGCCUACCGGGCCGACCGCGGAACCCCAGCCAGGCCCUGAGCCCACCGGCCAGCCGGAGCCAGACGCCGGUACGACCAAGCCCAUGAUGACCAGAUCCGCUGCGACCGUCACCAACCUGAGCGCAUUAGCUCUGCUGCUCAACGCCGCCGCCGGGUUGGCCCUCCUCCGUCAGUAGCCGGAGAGCCCGGGGUAUCUACGACCACUUGCACCGACCAUUGACAUCACCGACGUUGUCCGGUCGCACAAACGUCGCAGCAUUCUUCGGAUUUGUACAGUCACGGGGAACAUCGGGAUUAAGCUUUGAGAACAAAGAAUUUCACCCCCAGAUUUCAUUUUUUCCUUUUAGUGCCCGUUGGCGCUUGGCUUUCCAUAUAAGGGUGUUCAUUGUCACUAACUUGUUGAAGAAAGUUGUAAGACUAUUUAUAGUUCAAACAAUGGUUUUUUUCUCGACAUACGGAUUUCCAAGUAUUAAGAGGCUAUUUUGAAUAAGGUUUACCUUUGUAAGGUCUUCUAUAGCUUUUGUAGAGAUUCGAUUAAACAUUUCUUUGCCCCACGGAUCAACAAAGGAUUAUAAAGUUUACCGGUCAAGCAAUACGAACUGUUAUAUGCUCACUGGUCAACUGAUCUCAUCCCGUGUCACCGUGGAGAGAUCUUUUAAUAUUAAGAGUUCUUGGCCCACAAUUUGUGUCUAUUUGUACCCAAAAAGUUCCGGAAUUUUUUAGGAGUAGGUCUUCCUUUCCCAAAAUGUGUACCACAUCGUCCAUCUUCUCGACGUUCCAAGGUUACUUUCAGUCUUGCUCAUUAAUUUGAAACGCACAGGCGCUGUCUGUUGUUCCACAACUUCCACCAGAGUUUGCCUUCGCUACAUAAAUAUUUAUGCGACUUCCCAUUUGGAUGGUCAAUCAAGAUAAAUGCUAGUGUAUGACAGCCGGACAUUUUUAUUUACUGUGGCUUGUGUAGAAUGGCAUUGGCAGAUGCCAGCUGGCGAAGACGUAGCAUCUAUACAAGCCUACCGCAGGGGAGGUAUUUUUUCUACUAUCGCUGGGUUUGAUAGGCACCGUCCCGUCCAUUCUGGACACGUUCGCUCUUGAACCCACAAAUCACCUUGUUAAGCUGAACAUGGAACAACAUUGAGCGGAAAUUUAAAUCAUGGACAGCAAAUACCCCAAAGCCUUAAUUUAUGGAUCUUUUCACAGCUGAACUCAUCACGAAAUGAAACAAUAACAGUAAAUGACGUCCAUUGAUAGAGUUCAACAUGAAACGCUGCAAACACAGUGAAGUUGCCGUGUCUUGCCUUCUUCGUGAUGUGCAGCCUUCUGUUAUGAGGUCGAUUUGUAUGUGAUGACGACUUGUUCACGCAAGCUUGCAUACAAUUUCAUAUACAUAUGGUACUCAGCCAUGCUUGUUUGCCCAGUACUCAUAUUAAUUCAAAUUAAAGAACAUAGUACUAAGAACGAAAAUUGUACUAAAAGCAGGCUCAUGCUAAGAUACUCAAAGGAUAUAUUCGAGAAUAGGUAUCUCGUGAAAAUACUCAGAACAAUCUUUAACAGUCGCGGGAUCUAUAUGUCGGGGAUUUUGCGGCAUGGUUUUAGUCAUUAGUACCAUUUUAUGUCGACAUUGUGACAAGUUUUUACUUUUGACCACAAGUCAUAGCUAUCUUAGAAAUCCCCACAGUCCUAGUAUUUUGUAUAUAUAAUUCGGACCAUGGCAAAUCUGGUUGGAUGGAGUAUGUUGGGCGAAUACCUAUCAGGCUUGUUGUCGUUUAUACUGCGGUAGUAUGGUAGCCUCUCUAUCGACCCAUGUUCUCAUUACAGUGAGGUCAUGGGGACUAGGGCAAAAGAAUCCUGCAGUGCAUACACCUGUCAUGUCUUCAGCUUGUUCUUAAUACCUCUGUAUACGCCAACGCAACUGGGAGUUGAAAGGCUAUAAGGUAAAAAUAAGAAAUCCUAAUCAUUGGUGUACUAUUUAAAUCUCACGAACAGCGAGCAGGGCAAAUAAAGAAUGAAGCCUAUGAUUAUCCCCUUCCGAUAUGACCGCUGAUUUAUUUGCCAUCUGCCCACCAACCGUGAGGAAAUAAAAUCAAAAGUGGACACAUGUUUACUCUGUAAAAAAUAUAUAUAUUGUGGUGCGUGGUAUCAGUUAUGCUGUACUUAGACACCACGUUAAACACUACAUUUUUGCUGUGUCAGAAAGAUCGAUUGUGUCAAAUUAAUUUUCUCCCUAAAUCUAAUCAAAAUGUGUUUAGUUUAUGCACUUAUUGGAAGCAGUAACCUUUUAGUUCGUACUGUAGAUUAGCAGUUUAGUAUAUGCACUGAACAGUUUCAGUUUUAGCGUUGAUAAAUAAAUAUUUAAUUUGCCUUAUAAAUGAGGAAACACGUACUGUUCCUUAUUUUGUUCAAAUUCUGUCCACUUUUCAUCUUAAUGAUUUUUUAAAACACUAACACAAAGGAAAAUUUGUUGUUAUUAUCUGCUUUAAUAAUGUGACUUGGCAAAGCCGACAAAUACAUGCAAGUCACUAGCGAAGCGGCAAUUCUUUAUGGAAGCAUGCACAGCACCAAUUCGACCCUGACUAUAGGCGUCUUAAUCAUUUAAAGAUUAGCUGGAGCUAUGCACUUUAUUUGGAGGGGUGUUUCGUGCAUGUGCUUUUAUUAUCACCCGCAAUGCAAUGUCUGCAUGUCCCCGAUAUAGUGAUGCAGUGAAUCAAGUGAAUGCAAUUCUGUUCACCACGUGAUAAUGGAGUGUGUGUCAUGUGUCACUGGAAAAAUAAAAACUCCAGGGUGUCGUGAAUGUAUUGUGUAUUGUGAGUGUAUUGAAUGUAACAGUUAAUGAUACAUGCAGUUGUCAUAUGAUACACAUGUAGACAUAACAGUGUUGACUUUAAUUUCGGAGCGAGUUUUAAAUUAAACAAAUGGAAAUUGA